GCACUGCUGAGGAGUUUAACAACGGGACGAAACGGCCGUCCAGUGC
rfam:Schistosoma curassoni strain Dakar, Senegal genome assembly, scaffold: SCTD_scaffold0003065